rnacentral:rRNA from 1 species
GAUGAACGCUAGCGGCAGGCUUAAUACAUGCAAGUCGAGGGGGAUUAGUUGGGUAGCAAUACUCGGCUAUGAGACCGGCAAACGGGUGCGGAACACGUACGCAACCUUCCCAAAAUUGGUGAAUAGCCCUCCGAAAGGAGGAUUAAUACACCGUAACAUAUAGAGAUGGCAUCACCUUUAUAUUAUAGCUACGGCGAUUUUGGAUGGGCGUGCCGGCUGAUUAGGUAGUUGGCGGGGUAACGGCCCACCAAGCCUGCGAUCAGUAACUGGUGUGAAGGCACGACCAGUUACACUGGCACUGAGACACGGGCCCGACUCCUACGGGAGGCAGCAGUAAGGAAUAUUGGUCAAUGGACGAAAGUCUGAACCAGCCAUGCCGCGUGAAGGAUGAAGGUCCUCUGGAUUGUAAACUUCUUUUAUAUGGGACGAAAAAAGGGAAUUCUUUCUCACUUGACGGUACCAUAGGAAUAAGCACCGGCUAACUCCGUGCCAGCCGCCGCAGUAACAC